UGUGUAGGUGGCGCGCUAAGUCGGGUGUGAAAUUUCGGAGCUCAACUCCGAAAUGGCAUUGGAAACUACCUUGCUCGAGGGUUGGAGGGGGGACUGGAAUGCUUGGUGUAGCAGUGAAAUGCGUAGAUAUCAAGCGGAACACCAGUGGCGAAGGCGAGUCCCUGGACAACUCCUGACACUGAGGCACGAAAGCUAGGGGAGCAAACA
rnacentral:rRNA from 1 species